rnacentral:rRNA from 1 species
GGCCUUUUGGAGAUUUAUAUAAAAGGUUGGGCCUGCCCGGUGAUCUGAAAUGGUUUAACGGCUGCGAUUGAAACCGUACUAAGGUAGCAUAAUAAUUUGCCCUUUAAUUGGGGGAGAGAAUGAAUGGUUUGACGGUAAAAAAGCUGUUUUAAAAAUAAAAAAAGAAGUUAACUUUUAAGUGAAAAGGCUUAAGUUUUUAUAAAAGACGAGAAGACCCCGUCGAGCUUAAUUAGAAUAACUUAAGCCUGUAGGUUAUUUAAAAUUUUAUUGGGGCAAUAGAAAAUGAAAUGAAUCAUUUUUUUUAUUAUAAGGAUCCAGUUUUGACUGAAAAAAGCAAAAGCUACCGCGGGGAUAACAGGGUAAUUUUUUCUGAGAGUUCAUAUUUAAGAAGAAGUUUGCUACCUCGAUGUUGGAUUAGAAUUUCUUUAUGCUUGC